GCGUAAUAGCUCACUGGUCGAGUCGGCCUGCGCGGAAGAUGUAACGGGGCUAAACCAUGCACCGAAGCUGCGGCAGCGACACUAUGUGUUGUUGGGUAGGGGAGCGUUCUGUAAGCCUGCGAAGGUGACCUGUGAGGGUUGCUGGAGGUAUCAGAAGUGCGAAUGCUGACAUAAGUAACGAUAAAGCGGGUGAAAAGCCCGCUCGCCGGAAGACCAAGGGUUCCUGUCCAACGUUAAUCGGGGCAGGGUGAGUCG
rnacentral:rRNA from 5 species